UACGGAGGGGGCUAGCGUUGUUCGGAAUUACUGGGCGUAAAGCGCGCGUAGGCGGAUCUGCAAGUCGGGGGUGAAAUCCCGAGGCUCAACCUCGGAACUGCCUUCGAUACUGCGGGUCUCGAGUCCGGGAGAGGUGAGUGGAAUUCCUAGUGUAGAGGUGAAAUUCGUAGAUAUUAGGAAGAACACCAGUGGCGAAGGCGGCUCACUGGCCCGGUACUGACGCUGAGGCGCGAAAGCGUGGGGAGCAAACCGG
rnacentral:rRNA from 1 species